rnacentral:misc_RNA from 1 species
UCCCCGUUCUCCUGGGCAGUCUCUCUAGAGUGCUCGGCCUGACCCGGGGGCAACUAAGGACAGGGGUUGCGCUCGUUGCGGCACUUAAGCCAACACCUCACGGCACGAGCUGACGACAGCCAUGCAGCACCUGUGCUAGCCCCUUACGGACACGCGCUUUCACGCGCUUUAACUAGCAUGUCAAGCCUAGGUAAGGUUCUUCGCGUUGCAUCGAAUUAAGCCACAUGCUCCGCCGCUUGUGCGGGUCCCCGUCAAUUCCUUUGAGUUUUAAUCUUGCGACCGUACUCCCCAGGCGGGGUGCUUAAAGCGUUAGCUGCGCCACCGACGAGCAAGCUCGCCGACGGCUAGCACCCAUAGUUUACGGCGUGGACUAC